rnacentral:lncRNA from 1 species
CACCCAUUUACAUGAUUUAUAAACGCUAGAUUCCCGACAGGGUCACCGUUAAUCAUCUAUUGCAUAAAACUUUUUUAAUUUGAUUUUUGAAAAAUUUGAUUGUUCGUACACCAACGCUGUAGUGACAAGGGUGUUGUUAGCCUGUCAUGAUGGUUGAAAAAAGUAAAAUCCCAAAAAUACUGAACUCCGAGGAAAAUUACAUACCCUUAUUUCGCGUUUUAAUCAGAAAAUCAAAAAUACAGAUUAUCAUGAAAUAUUUGGUCUGACAAUCAAAUAAUCACUAUAAUUACUAGAAGAGCCGUGGUGUAGUGGUUAGGGCAUCGGACUACUAACACAAAGGUUCCUGGUUCAUCGGAAGGGGACGAUAAAUGACUGACCCGUGUUAAGAGAGAGCAAUAUCCCUUGUACAUAAAAGACACUCUUGUAGAUAUCGAAAAAGAGUAGGUUAAUGCCGCUACAAGACAGCACUCGCAACCGCAAAUGGAAAGGGAUAAGUUGCAAU